rnacentral:rRNA from 1 species
UACGAAGGGGGCUAGCGUUGCUCGGAAUCACUGGGCGUAAAGCGCACGUAGGCGGAUUGCUAAGUCAGGGGUGAAAUCCUGGAGCUCAACUCCAGAACUGCCUUUGAUACUGGCGACCUUGAGUCCGGGAGAGGUGAGUGGAACUGCGAGUGUAGAGGUGAAAUUCGUAGAUAUUCGCAAGAACACCAGUGGCGAAGGCGGCUACCUGGACAGAUACUGACGCUGAGGCGCGAGAGCGUGGGGAGCAAACAGG